UGGGGAAUAUUGGACAAUGGGCGAAAGCCUGAUCCAGCCAUGCCGCGUGUGUGAAGAAGGUCUUGGGAUUGUAAAGCACGUUAAGUUGGUAGGAAGGGCAUUAACCUAAUACGUUAGUGUUUUGACGUUACCGACAGAAUAAGCACCGGCUAACUCUGUGCCAGCAGCCGCGGUAAUACAGAGGGUGCAAGCGUUAAUCGGAAUUACUGGGCGUAAAGCGCGCGUAGGUGGUUUGUUAAGUUGGAUGUGAAAUCCCCGGGCUCAACCUGGGAACUGCAUUCAAAACUGACUGACUAGAGUAUGGUAGAGGGUGGUGGAAUUUCCUGUGUAGCGGUGAAAUGCGUAGAUAUAGGAAGGAACACCAGUGGCGAAGGCGACCACCUGGACUAAUACUGACACUGAGGUGCGAAGGCGUGGGGAGCAAACA
rnacentral:rRNA from 1 species